rnacentral:rRNA from 1 species
UAAAAAAAGGUAAGCUACUAAGAGCGAAUGGUGGAUGCCUUGACUGGUAAAGGCGAUGAAGGACGUACUAGACUGCGAUAAGCUACGGGGAGCUGUCAAGAAGCUUUGAUCCGUAGAUUUCCGAAUGGGGCAACCCAAUGUAUAGAGAUAUACAUUACCUAUAUAGGAGCGAACGAGGGGAAUUGAAACAUCUUAGUACCCUCAGGAAAAGAAAUCAAUAGAGAUUGCGUCAGUAGCGGCGAGCGAAAGCGCAAGAGGGCAAACCCAGUGCUUGCACUGGGGGUUGUAGGACUGCAAUGUGCAAGAGGUAAGUUUAGCAGAACAUUCUGGAAAGUAUAACCAUAGAGGGUGAUAGUCCCGUAUGCGAAAAACAAACCUUAGCUAGCAGUAUCCUGAGUAGGGCGGGACACGAGGAAUCCUGUCUGAAUCCGGGUCGACCACGAUCCAACCCUAAAUACUAAUACCAGAUCGAUAGUGCACAAGUACCGUGAGGGAAAGGUGAAAAGAACUGAGGUGAUCAGAGUGAAAUAGAACCUGAAACCAUUUGCUUACAAUCAUUCAGAGCCCUAUGUAGCAAUACAGGGUGAUGGACUGCCUUUUGCAUAAUGAGCCUGCGAGUUGUGGUGUCUGGCAAGGUUAAGCAAACGCGAAGCCGUAGCGAAAGCGAGUCUGAAUAGGGCGCUUAGUCAGAUGCUGCAGACCCGAAACGAAGUGAUCUAUCCAUGAGCAAGUUGAAGCUAGUGUAAGAACUAGUGGAGGACUGAACCCAUAGGCGUUGAAAAGCCCCGGGAUGACUUGUGGAUAGGGGUGAAAGGCCAAUCAAACUUCGUGAUAGCUGGUUCUCUCCGAAAUAUAUUUAGGUAUAGCGUUGUGUCGUAAUAUAAGGGGGUAGAGCACUGAAUGGGCUAGGGCAUACACCAAUGUACCAAACCCUAUCAAACUCCGAAUACCUUAUAUGUAAUCACAGCAGUCAGGCGGCGAGUGAUAAAAUCCGUCGUCAAGAGGGAAACAACCCAGACUACCAGCUAAGGUCCCUAAAUCUUACUUAAGUGGAAAACGAUGUGAAGUUACUUAAACAACCAGGAGGUUGGCUUAGAAGCAGCCAUCCUUUAAAGAAAGCGUAAUAGCUCACUGGUCUAGUGAUUUUGCGCGGAAAAUAUAACGGGGCUAAAGUAAGUACCGAAGCUGUAGACUUGCACACAACUUAGAUUAUUUAAGUUUAGAAUAUGAGAAACUAAGUUAUAUGUUUAGUUAUAUUUUUACUGAUUUUUAUAGAGUAAAGAUAGAAAUAAAACUUAGUAAAAUCAGUAAAAAUAUUCUUAGACUAAAGUUAAGUAGUUUAAGUUGUGUGCAAGUGGUAGGAGAGCGUUCUAUUUGCGUCGAAGGUAUACCGGUAAGGAGUGCUGGAGCGAAUAGAAGUGAGCAUGCAGGCAUGAGUAGCGAUAAUUAAUGUGAGAAUCAUUAACGCCGUAAACCCAAGGUUUCCUACGCGAUGCUCGUCAUCGUAGGGUUAGUCGGGUCCUAAGUCGAGUCCGAAAGGGGUAGACGAUGGCAAAUUGGUUAAUAUUCCAAUACCAACAUUAGUGUGCGAUGGAAGGACGCUUAGGGCUAAGGGGGCUAGCGGAUGGAAGUGCU